UCCUGGUGUAGUGCACUACACAGGGUGUGGUUUGGAACCCUGUUCCUGGUGUAGUGCACUACACAGGGUGUGGUUUGGAACCCUGUUCCUGGUGUGCUCUGCACUACACAGGGUGUGGUUUGGAACCCUGUUCCUGGUGUAGUGCACUACACAGGGUGUGGUUUGGAACCCUGUUCCUGGUGUAGUGCACUACACAGGGUGUGGUUUGGAACCCUGUUCCCGAUGUGGUGCACUACACAGGGUGUGGUUUGGAACCCUGUUCCCGGUGUAGUGCACUACACAGGGUGUGGUUUGGAACCCUGUUCCCGGUGUAGUGCUCUACACUACACAGGGUGUGGUUUGGAACCCUGUUCCCGGUGUAGUGCUCUACACUACACAGGGUGUGGGUUGGAACCCUGUUCCCGGUGUAGUGCUCUACACUACACAGGGUGUGGGUUGGAACCCUGUUCCCGGUGUAGUGCUCUACACUACACAGGGUGUGGGUUGGAACCCUGUUCCCGGUGUAGUGCUCUACACUACACAGGGUGUGGUUUGGAACCCUGUUCCCGGUGUAGUGCUCUACACUACACAGGGUGUGGUUUGGAACCCUGUUCCCGGUGUAGUGCUCUACACUACACAGGGUGUGGUUUGGAACCCUGUUCCCGGUGUAGUGCUCUACACUACACAGGGUGUGGUUUGGAACCCUGUUCCCGGUGUAGUGCUCUACACUACACAGGGUGUGGUUUGGAACCCUGUUCCCGGUGUAGUGCUCUACACUACACAGGGUGUGGUUUGGAACCCUGUUCCCGGUGUAGUGCUCUACACUACACAGCCUCUGUUUAUUUAAGUGGUACUUCUGUUCUGUUGGACAACAGGCUGUAUUUUGAUGUGUGUUUUGGCUGUUGUGUGUUUCUUCCAUUGGGAGGUGCAGUUUGAGACGUCUGCCUGUCGAACAGGGGUUCGACCUUCCUCUGUGGAAGCUGGUAUGGGUGCAGGCUUUAGCUCCCGCCCUGCAGUAAAACCUGUUUCAACUAAUCAUUUUUUAACGUUGAUUUAAUUAUAGUUAAGUCAAAUUCUAGUUAUCAAUAAAGAACAGCUGAUUCAACUGAUCCAAUUAGUCUUGGUCAUCAAUAAAGACUUUAUUAGUGGAGUCUGAUGUGUUACACCCACCGUGGUUCUGACAGGUUCUGGCCCCUGGAGCAGAGAACAGACACCCACCGUGGCCCGGACAGGUUCUGACCCCUGGAGCAGAGAACAGACACCCACCGUGGCCCUGACAGGUUCUGACCCCUGGAACAGAGAACAGAGACACCCACCGUGGCCCUGACAGGUUCUGACCCCUGGAGCAGAGAACAGAGACCCACCGUGGCCCUGACAGGUUCUGACCCCUGGACCAGAGAACAGACACCCACCGUGGCCCUGACAGGUUCUGACCCCUGGAGCAGAGAACAGACACCCACCGUGGCCCUGACAGGUUCUGACCCCUGGACCAGAGAACAGACAGGUUCUGACCCCUGGACCAGAGAACAGACAGGUUCUGACCCCUGGACCAGAGAACAGACACCCACCGUGGCCCUGACAGGUUCUGACCCCUGGACCAGAGAACAGACACCCCCAGUGAAAGCAGCAUCUAUGUGGGGGAAGUGAUCAGAACCCUGGUCAGGAUAGUGAACGGUGGACCAGUCAAUCUUCAUUUCAUUUGCAUCUCCAUAUACCUUCUCUUCUCGUCAAUAGAGAUGAUUCAUAUGUUGAAAUGUAUAUCAAGAUAUUGUUUAUUUCACUUUUCUUUCAUCCUGGUUCCAUCAAUCGUCCAAUCAUCAAGCCCUUUUGAUAAGUUGAUUGAGGUGUGUUAGGCUGGCACAAAACCCUGCACACCCUGUGUGUUUCCAGGACUGGGAUUGAAGGACACUGAUGUGUUUAACUUUGUGUUUGUCAGAAUCAGACUGGGGAUGAAUUUUAAUUUAGUUUCUCAGAUUUUUACGAAGUGCUUUUUUUACUGAGCGGCUGAUGUUUUGAAUUUAGUCUGUGUUUUUGGUUUUACUGUGUUGUUGUUAUUGACAUUAUUUAACAGAUCACGAGUUUGUAAAUAUUGAUGAAAGACUGAGGAUGAUGUUAUUAUCGUUGGUGGUAAUAUAAGCAGUGUAUAGCACCUUCAUAAGCAGUGUAUAGCACCUUCAUAAGCAGUGUAUAGCACCUUCAUAAGCAGUGUAUAGCACCUUCAUAAGCAGUGUAUAGCACCUUCAUAAGCAGUGUAUAGCACCUUCAUAAGCAGUGCAUGAGGGCUUCAUAGGUAAAAGCAUCAUCUUGAGUCUUGUCCAAUAUGACAUGUACUGACCCAAUCACAACAACCCCACGCCCUUCCAGCAAGUAUUUGAAACGAUCCGACCCAUACAGACCCGUUAAUCUGGGCUUGGGCUUUGGAUCCUCCACAGGGAUGACGUAGGCCCUUAAGUAUUGCUUAUGAAGGGGACAAGUAGCCUCUAAGUAGGUUUCCUGCUCUAACUCUAAAGAUCUGACCAUACAUGGACUGUACAUCAGUGGAGUUGUUGCUAAUAGCAACAUGUCAAAAGUAUACCUAAUUUACAUCCCAAAUGGUACCCUAUCCCCUAUAUAGUGCCCUUCAUUUGACCAGAGCCCUAUGGGUUGAGCCCUAUAAAGUACACUUCAUUUGACCAGAGCCCUAUAUAGUACACUUCAUUUGACCAGAGCCCUAUGGGUUGAACCCUAUAUAGUACACUUCA